ACACUCUGGGUUCUCUUCAGCUCGCAUAAAUCUUUCGCCUUUUACUAAAGAUUUCCGUGGAGAGGACCAUUUAUGAGUUUAAAGUAAUUUUUUGAUGCCCUGCCCUGAUGUUGUGA
ensembl:snRNA U5 U5 spliceosomal RNA